ACGCACGCUGGCGGCAUGCCUAACACCUGCAAGUCGCACGAGACCUUCGGGUCUAGUGGCGCACGGGUGCGUAACGCGUGGGAACCUGCCUUUAGGUUCGGAAUAACUCAGAGAAAUUUGAGCUAAUACCGGAUGAUGUCUUCGGACCAAAGAUUUAUCGCCUUUAGAUGGGCCCGCGUUGGAUUAGCUAGUUGGUGGGGUAAGGGCCUACCAAGGCGACGAUCCAUAGCUGGUCUGAGAGGAUGAUCAGCCACACUGGGACUGAGACACGGCCCAGACUCCUACGGGAGGCAGCAGUGGGGAAUAUUGGACAAUGGGCGAAAGCCUGAUCCAGCAAUGCCGCGUGAGUGAUGAAGGCCUUAGGGUUGUAAAGCUCUUUUACCCGAGAUGAUAAUGACAGUAUCGGGAGAAUAAGCUCCGGCUAACUCCGUG
rnacentral:rRNA from 1 species